rnacentral:tRNA from 1 species
UCCCUAGUGGCUCAGUCAGUAAGGAGUCUGCCUGCUAUGCAGGAGACCCAGGUUUGAUCCCUGGGUGGGGAA